rnacentral:rRNA from 1 species
ACGUAGGGUGCAAGCGUUAAUCGGAUUUACUGGGCGUAAAGGGCGCGUAGGCGGCCACCGCAAGUCAAUUGUGAAAUCUCCGGGCUUAACUCGGAAAGGUCAACUGAUACUGCGGGGCUAGAGUGCAGAAGGGGCAACUGGAAUUCUCGGUGUAGCGGUGAAAUGCGUAGAUAUCGAGAGGAACACCUGCGGCGAAGGCGGGUUGCUGGGCUGACACUGACGCUGAUGCGCGAAAGCUAGGGGAGCGAACGGGA